CAGUCGCCGCGGGAAUACAGAGGGUGCGAGCGUUAAUCGGAUUUACUGGGCGUAAAGCGUGUGUAGGUUGUUGUUCAAGUCAGUUGUGAAAUCCCUGGGCUCAACCUGGGAACUGCUUCUGAGACUGAACGACUAGAGUACGGUAGAGGGUGGUGGAAUUUCCGGUGUAGCGGUGAAAUGCGUAGAUAUCGGAAGGAACAUCAAUGGCGAAGGCAGCCACCUGGGCCUGUACUGACACUGAGACACGAAAGCGUGGGGAUCAAACAGGAUUAGAUACCCCCGUAGUCCCUGUCUCUUAUAU
rnacentral:rRNA from 1 species